GCCAGUGUGGCAUAUUGGUUUGAAUGUUAGACUAUAACUCUGGAGACCAGCGUUCAAUUCUCAGCCAUGAAA